rnacentral:rRNA from 1 species
CCUACGGGCGGCAGCAGUGGGGAAUAUUGCACAAUGGGGGAAACCCUGAUGCAGCAACGCCGCGUGAGUGAAGAAGUAUUUCGGUAUGUAAAGCUCUAUCAGCAGGGAAGAAGAUGACGGUACCUGAUUAAGAAGCCCCGGCUAACUACGUGCCAGCAGCCGCGGUAAUACGUAGGGGGCAAGCGUUAUCCGGAUUUACUGGGUGUAAAGGGAGCGCAGACGGCAGUGCAAGUCUGGAGUGAAAGCCCGGGGCCCAACCCCGGAACUGCUCUGGAAACUGUGCGGCUAGAGUACUGGAGGGGCAGGCGGAAGUCCUAGUGUAGCGGUGAAAUGCGUAGAUAUAUGGAAGAACACCAGUGGCGAAAGCGGCUCUCUGGUCUGUAACUGACGCUGAGGUUCGAAAGCGUGGGUAGCAAACAGGAGUAGAUACCCCAGUAGUC